GUGGGGAAUAUUGGACAAUGGGCGCAAGCCUGAUCCAGCAAUGCCGCGUGGGUGAAGAAGGCCUUCGGGUUGUAAAGCCCUUUUGUACGGAAAGAAAUCCUGGUGGUUAAUACCCGCCGGGGAUGACGGUACCGUAAGAAUAAGCACCGGCUAACUUCGUGCCAGCAGCCGCGGUAAUACGUAGGGUGCAAGCGUUAAUCGGAAUUACUGGGCGUAAAGCGUGCGCAGGCGGUUUUGUAAGACAGGCGUGAAAUCCCCGGGCUCAACCUGGGAAUGGCGAUGGAAACUGGGCGACUAGAGUGCGGUAGAGGAUGGCGGAAUUCCCGGUGUAGCGGUGAAAUGCGUAGAGAUCGGGAGGAACAUCCGUGGCGAAGGCGGCCAUCUGGACCAGCACUGACACUGAGGCACGAAAGCGUGGGGAGCAAACAGGAUUAGAAACCCCUGUAGUCC
rnacentral:rRNA from 1 species